ACAGAGGGUGCAAGCGUUAAUCGGAAUUACUGGGCGUAAAGCGCGCGUAGGCGGUUACGUAAGUUGGAGGUGAAAUCCCCGAGCUCAACUUGGGAAUUGCCUUCAAAACUGCGUGGCUAGAGUGUGGGAGAGGAAGGUAGAAUUCCAGGUGUAGCGGUGAAAUGCGUAGAUAUCUGGAGGAAUACCGAUGGCGAAGGCAGCCUUCUGGCCUAACACUGACGCUGAGGUGCGAAAGCAUGGGGAGCAAACAGG
rnacentral:rRNA from 1 species